GUGGGGAAUAUUGGGCAAUGGGCGCAAGCCUGACCCAGCCAUGCCGCGUGAGUGACGAAGGCCUUAGGGUUGUAAAGCUCUUUCGGCGGGGACGAUGAUGACGGUACCCGCAGAAGAAGCCCCGGCUAACUUCGUGCCAGCAGCCGCGGUAAUACGAAGGGGGCGAGCGUUGUUCGGAAUCACUGGGCGUAAAGGGCACGUAGGCGGCCGUGCAAGUUGGGCGUGAAAGCCCCGGGCUCAACCCGGGAUGUGCGCUCAAGACUGCAUGGCUCGAGUUCGGAAGAGGGUGGCGGAAUUCCCAGUGUAGAGGUGAAAUUCGUAGAUAUUGGGAAGAACACCGGUGGCGAAGGCGGCUACCUGGUCCGAUACUGACGCUGAGGUGCGAAAGCGUGGGGAGCAAACAGGAUUAGAAACCCCAGUAGUCC
rnacentral:rRNA from 1 species